CCUACGGGGGGCUGCAGUGGGGAAUAUUGGGCAAUGGACGAAAGUCUGACCCAGCCAUGCCGCGUGCAGGAUGACUGCCCUAUGGGUUGUAAACUGCUUUUCUACGGGAAGAAACACUCAUACGUGUGUGAGCUUGACGGUACCGUAGGAAUAAGGAUCGGCUAACUCCGUGCCAGCAGCCGCGGUAAUACGGAGGAUCCAAGCGUUGUCCGGAUUCAUUGGGUUUAAAGGGUGCGUAGGCGGACUACUAAGUCAGGGGUGAAAUCUUGCGGCUCAACCGUAAAAUUGCCUUUGAAACUGGUAGUCUUGAGUUCGGUCGAGGUGGAUGGAAUGUGUCAUGUAGCGGUGAAAUGCUUAGAUAUGACCCAGAACACCAAUUGCGAAGGCAGUUCACUGGACCGACACUGACGCUGAGGCACGAAAGCGUGGGGAGCGAACAGGCUUAGAUACCCCUGUAGUC
rnacentral:rRNA from 1 species